GACGAACGCUGGCGGCGUGCCUAAUACAUGCAAGUCGAGCGAAGUUUUUCUGGUGCUUGCACCGGAAAAACUUAGCGGCGAACGGGUGAGUAACACGUAAAGAACCUGCCUCAUAGACUGGGACAACUAUUGGAAACGAUAGCUAAUACCGGAUAACAGCAUUAACUGCAUGGUUGAUGUUUAAAAGUUGGUUUUGCUAACACUAUGAGAUGGCUUUGCGGUGCAUUAGCUAGUUGGUGGGGUAAAGGCCUACCAAGGCGACGAUGCAUAGCCGACCUGAGAGGGUGAUCGGCCACACUGGGACUGAGACACGGCCCAGACUCCUACGGGAGGCAGCAGUAGGGAAUCUUCCGCAAUGGGCGAAAGCCUGACGGAGCAACGCCGCGUGAGUGAAGAAGGAUUUCGGUUCGUAAAGCUCUGUUGUUAGGGAAGAAUGAUUGUGUAGUAACUAUACACAGUAGAGACGGUACCUAACCAGAAAGCCACGGCUAACUACGUGCCAGCAGCCGCGGUAAUACGUAGGUGGCAAGCGUUGUCCGGAAUUAUUGGGCGUAAAGCGCGCGCAGGUGGUUUAAUAAGUCUGAUGUGAAAGCCCACGGC
rnacentral:rRNA from 1 species